CAAAAAACCGUUGUCUUUCUCAGCUUCAGGUAAUUGCUUCUGGUUUCCCGAUGGUCUCUCCGGCCACCUGAGGUGAGUUCAACUGUGAGAUUGAAAAAGAUGGAAAGGUCCUGAUUCAAGGGGUGACAUCAACUGGUGGAAGAACCAUUUCAAGAUAUUCUCGGGUCUUUGAUACGAAAAUCCAGCAACAAUGUCCAUGAGGAGCUUUCACUGUCUCCUUUAGUUUGCCCCGGGCCUACCGAUCCAAGGUUGUUUUCACCAAAUUUCAGAUCUGAGGGCAUUUUUUAGACUGUUGUGGUGAAGUACGACCCGGUAGGUCAUGUGAACAACCAUUUAAGCCAGACCCACCACAGAAAGCUCUUCUCAGUGGAGCCAAUGUGCUGUGUGUACUAAACUUGUAGAUAAUGUUUUACCAUGUAAAUAGAGACAAUUACAGUUCAAAUGAUUCCCUAUUUUGUUUUGGAUCACCAAAAUAGCACUGAAAACUGAGGAUAGUCAAGACAGGAAGUUGGAACCUAGUUUUCUGAAAUCCACUUGCUAAGAUUUUGUUUUCUUCAUGGAUAAUGAAAUCUACUUGAGCUUUGUCUUAAAAUUAGGGUAGUGAAAAUUGUGCUUAAAUGGUGUUGAAAUUGUGCUUAAAUGGUGCUGAAAUUGUGUUGAAAGGGUGCUGAAAAUGAACUAAUUUAUAGCUGCAUUAGCUGCUGAAAAACAGCCAAAAUGCACCUAUUUCGCACGCAAUUGCUGCUGCAUUAUGUGCUGAAAUGCAGUCAAUAUAGCACUGAAAUGAUUUUGUUUUGGAUCACCAAAAUAGCACUGAAAACUGAGGAUAGUAAAGACAGGAAGUUGGAACCUAGUUUUCUGGUUUUUUUCUUUUUGUCAUGAUAGGAACCUAUUGUCCUGAAAUCCACUUGCUAAAUUGGAACCUAGUUUUCUUAAGAUAAGCGAAAAGGCAUAUUGUCCAAAAUUGCUUCUUGUUUUGUUCUGUGAAAGCUGUCUUCUUCAGAAUGCUGUUAGAAGAAAAUAAAUGAAAAGAAAAAUUACACAUGGACACUUCCAGCGGUAUGUAUAACAUGAAAAGGUUGAAACUUGAAACUCAUUUGCAAAGGAUUUUGGUCUAGAGUUCAUUCUUUUAUAUAUCAGAUUGAAGCAGCUAAAUGGAGGAAGAAGAGAUCGAUGUCUGUUUUUAUUCAAUGUGGAAAUUUAUAACGUCAGUCCUAGCUGGAACACCUGCUUUCCCAUGCCCUCAUCAGCUGCUACAAGGCACCUCACUUGACACUCUUCUUUGUGUGAAUCCUUCUUUGAAGAAGUCGACGGAUAUAUAUAUUUCCUCAAGGUCAGUUCACUUUGUAGUAACCAAGUUACACUCAAAUGGUGUUCUGGAACUUAGAGCUUAGAUUGCUGUCGUCUCAUUAGAAUGAUUGCCAGCCCAAGUUGUCUGAUUCUGCCAGUUUCUGUUGCAGUUUAUAUAGUGUAACUUAGUGCUGAACUUUGUUUGUUAAGUUAAUUACUUGAUUAUGGAUCAUUCAAUGAAAUUCUUGAUAAAUUAGUAGCCCAUACUUGAUUAUGUAAGCCAUAUUUCCAGAACAACUAAAAAAUAAUUGAA